AACGAACGCUGGCGGCAUGCCUAACACAUGCAAGUCGAACGCGUGUAGCAAUACACGAGUGGCGGACGGGUGAGUAACGCGUGGGAACCUGCCCAAUGGAAGGGAAUAACUGCGGGAAACUGCAGCUAAUACCCUAUGCUCCCUACGGGGGAAAGAUUUAUCGCCAUUGGAGGGGCCCGCGUCGGAUUAGCUAGUUGGCGGGGUAACGGCCCACCAAGGCUACGAUCAGUAACUGGUGNGAGAGCACGACCAGUCACACGGGCACUGAGACACGGGCCCGACUCCUACGGGAGGCAGCAGUAAGGAAUAUUGGUCAAUGGACGCAAGUCUGAACCAGCCAUGCCGCGUGAAGGAUGAAGGCCCUCUGGGUUGUAAACUUCUUUUAUCUGGGAAGAAAUCUACUUUUUCUAAAGUAGGUUG
rnacentral:rRNA from 1 species